AUUUAGUGCUAUAAAUUUCCCUCUAAACACUGCUUUUGCUGUGUCCCAGAGACCCUGGUACGUUGUGUCUUUGUUCUCAUUGCAGGGACAUGGAUGAAGCUGGAAGCCAUCAUUCUCGGCAAACUGACACAGGAACAGAAAACCAAACACCGCAUGUUCUCACUCGUAAGUGGGAGUUGAACAAUGAGAACACAUGGACACAGGGAGGGAAAGAUCACACACUGGGGCCUUUCAGAGGGUGGGGGGCUGGGGGAAGAUAGCAUUAGAGGGAAUACCUAAUGUAGAUGAUGGGUUGAUGGGUGCGGCAAACCACCAUGGCACAUGUAUACCUAUGUAACAAACCUGCCCAUUCUGCACAAGUAUGCCAGAACUUAAAGUAUAAAAAAAAAUGAAAUGGAUGGAAGCAGAGUACCUGGAGAGGGCUUUGUCCAUCCUGUGGUUGAGGACUCCCUGGCCAUGACACCCUUUUGUGCUUUAAAGCCAAUGAAUGACAUUAUCUUGGCCUCUUGUCUCACAAGGAUGGAACCAUAAAUGAGUCCUUUCCCACACCAUGACACACAUAGAAAAUAAUAAUAUUUGUGCAGCCUACAUCAUUUGUGAAGUUGAGGAGGUUUGUGGGCUUUGCUUUUUGAUUUAUUUGUUAAUAAUUAUUUUUUAUAAGACACAUUAAGGAAGACUGAUUUUGUAUAAAAAUGUCCAAUACCAUAUUCUUGAAAUAUAUUUUUAACAAUUUAUGGAGGUAUACUGGAUAUAAAAUAAACUGCGUGUAUUUAAACUGACAAAUGUGUCAGUGAAACCAUCACUACAGUCAAGAUAAUGAACAUAUCCAUCACUCUAAAAAAUGUCCUCUUGUCCCUUUGUAAUCUGUUUAUUAUAGCCCUUCCCACCAUCCACAGCCUAUGCUUAAGCAAUCAGAGCUCUGCUUUCUGUCUCUAUAAAUUACUUGGUAUUUUCUAAAAUGUUAUAUAGGUGGACUCAUACAGCAUGCACUCUUUCUGUCUGGCUUCUUUCACUCAGUAAUCAUUUUAAGAUUCAUUCAUUUUGUAGCAUAUAUCAGAAGUUCAUUUCUUUUUAUUGCGGAGCAGCAUACUGUUGUAUGGAUACACCAUGGUUUAUUUAUCCAUUCACCUACUGAUGGACGUUUUGUUUCCAGUUUUUUGUUGUUGUUACAAAUAAAGCUGCUAUGAAUACUUG
rnacentral:lncRNA from 1 species